UACGUAGGGUGCAAGCGUUAAUCGGAAUUACUGGGCGUAAAGCGUGCGCAGGCGGCUUUGCAAGACAGAUGUGAAAUCCCCGGGCUUAACCUGGGAACUGCAUUUGUGACUGCAUGGCUGGAGUGCGGCAGAGGGGAUGGAAUUCCGCGUGUAGCAGUGAAAUGCGUAGAUAUGCGGAGGAACACCGAUGGCGAAGGCAAUCCCUGGGCCUGCACUGACGCUCAUGCACGAAGCGUGGGAGC
rnacentral:rRNA from 1 species